rnacentral:rRNA from 1 species
AUGGCNGUCGUCAGCUCGUGUCGUGAGAUGUUGGGUUAAGUCCCGCAACGAGGCAGCAACACCUUGUCCUUAGUUUGCCAGCACCGUUUAUUGGUGGGAACUCUAAGGAGACUGCCGGUGAUAAACCGGAGGAAGGUGGGGAUGACGUCAAGUCAUCAUGGCCCUUAUGGGCUGGGCUACACACGUGCUACAAUGGUCGGUACAGAGGGUCGCAAACCCGCGAGGGGGAGCCAAUCCCAGAAAGCCGAUCUUAGUCGUCGCAGUCUGCAACUCGACUGCGUGAAGUCGGAUCGCUAGUAAUCGCAAUCAGCAUGUCGCGGU